rnacentral:lncRNA from 1 species
ACAAGCUCGAGGCUUGGCCCACACAGCCUGCAGAACUAGGGAGCGCGGAAGACACCAUCUCACGGACACAGAAGGGGCCCUGGGCCCAGAGAAGACCUUCGCACACUGCAAGGUAACGCCUUCCAAUUCCCCUGUGUGAAUUAGGCUGUUCCUCUGGGGCACCACUGACUUCCAGAUGUGGGGUGAGCUGCGACCGAGGUGUUUAUAAAAAGAUAUUCCCCGCUCCACCCCCACCCCCGGAGCUAUGUGCUGUGUUCUCUGCACAUUUGAAUUUGUCUGCCAUGGUUAUUCUAUUUCUUCAGAAAGCCUGAGAAAACUGGAGUCUUUGCUAAAGCUUCUUCUCUCCCCAGAGGAAGGAAAGGAUGAGGCUAGGGAGGAGUCUACACCUGGAGGUGGCGUGGAUUUUUAGUUCCGGCCUUGGAGGAGCUGUGUAGGAAGCCAUUUCCGGUUUAACGAUGGCCUGACUUCACAAUAAACACCAAGAUUCCACCAUUAGGAUACUUAGAAUUUGAAGGUUCAUUUGACCAGGAAUCCUCCCCUCCCCAUGCUUGGGAGCAGGCACAGCCCCAAGGCUCACUCUAUUUUGUUCCUCUACUCCUGAAACACCAGCAUCGGACUUGUUUCUCUGUCCCCCUGGUAUUGGUCCCUCGACAGCACUGGAAAUAGCUGGACAACCGCACAGAAAUGAAACCAGUUCCUAGGAAUCCCCCAGCCUCAGCAACUCUCUUUAAAAAGGGUCCGUUGAGACCCCAGCUUGGCUGAGAAUUUGCCCCAGGAUCCCCUCUUGGCUGGAGGUAAUGGUGUAACAGAUGUGGCAUAAGCUUUCCAGAUUUCCCCUUCUAGCUGAAUUUCAAUCAGAAAAGAAAGACUUCCCUGCUCCCUAUUGAGGAGAACAUUCUAUUUUAAAAUUUUCAUGUGCUUUCAAAAUGACAAGACUCAGGCAUAUGCUACUGACUUGCUUUGUCUUCUAGACUAUAAUAGCCUCUAAGAAUCAAACGGAUGCAUUUAACACAUCUAACUGCAAUGACAGAAAAUGUGGAUUUGGAAUUAAGAAAAAGCACAUCCAUUUAUCAUUUGCUUUUUAAGAAUCUUUUUUAGGUGCUGAAGGGUUAGGUUGGCAGCAAAGUGACACUUCACUUCCCCAAAGCAUUCUUUUCUCAGCCCUCUGGAGGUGGCCCUAGAAUGUUCUCAGACCCUGGGAAACAAAAUCUGAAAGCGAAGAUGAGCUGCUUGUGCCCCGAUCUGACCUGAGAUAGCAUAGGGAGUUUUAUGAUGUUCUUGGUACUUGCGAAUCUGAAAUAUCUUCCGAGGAGCUGUGAUGCACACGGAACACUCACAAGGUUGGUGACUUCACUGGAGGGUUAGGCUUUGUAAAAUCUUCGUCCUUAAUGAACUCCCCCCUCCCCAUUUAUGAAAGGAAACCCCUGGCUUUAAAAGAGGAGCAAAUCCAGUCUCUCCUGUUUUGCAUCCCCACAGGCUCAAUGGGAAAACUGCAUUCUGAAUUGACCGCUGCAACUAGAACCAUCUAGAGAUUCCAUCUAGGUUGGGAAGGUGAGGGAAGGGAGCUUGGGACCCUGCAGAGAAAUUUCAUUUUAAUAAACAGCCAUUAGGAAUCCCUUGGACUCAAGCUCUCUCAGGAAAUGUCAGGAAGUAAAGCACAAAGAGAGAUUGUGGGAGAUUUAUGUGGAUGAGAACAGAGGAGAGAAAUUAAACAGGAUCCCCCAAGACCUUUUCUAGCUGUAGAAAACUGCUGGCAUCUGGACACAUCACCCUGGAUUUAUAGCCAAGCUUCUUGCCUUAAGCAUUAAUUUUUUUCACAGGAAAUAACAGGUGUAAUUAUUUUCCAACCAGCUUAUAAACUUUCUGGGUUUUAUUAACUGAUGCUAUAUAGGUUUGAUUGUUCAAUUUGAAAAUAUGAAAGAUUUCUUUUUAACCUGAAUGAGAAAUGACUAUGCACAGUUUUAAAAAUAUAUCCAAGUAGAUCCUGGCAUUAACUACUUCUGAUUUUUUAAAUUAGUGAUACAUUAUUGGACAGCAUUUGAAAAAAAUGAAAACGUUUUACUUGCCUGUUUUAACUACUUUGCAGGUUGACAUAAUUUAACCACUCUUGCAAAAACAAUCAAAGAAGAAAUAAAAGAUGAUGGCUGUUAUAUUUUCAAAUUGUUCACAAGGCCAAGAACAUAAUAGGCACUCAAUAAAUGUUUCUUGAUUGAUGCAAUAAUACCAUAAAAUAAUUGCAGUGCAUUAUAAAGUAUUUCACUAGUGAUUUGCUAGGAAAUUAGCCUGCGGCCUAUCUGUCAGUACAGCACUAACUUUUCAAGCUUGUUGACAAGCAGAGUAGGAAAAGGGUAAAUUUUAACCUAAUUUUAUAAGGGUGUUUUGCAAGAAGGAAUUUCUAUUAGGAAAUCUCCACAAAGCUGCUUAAAACUGUUUACAUUCUAGAGUUCCCACUGUGGUAAUGGGUUAAGGAUCUGACUGCAGCAGCUUGCAUCGUUUCAGAGGGGUGGGUUCCAGGAACUUCCAUUGGCUGUGGGAAUGGCCAAAAAAAAUGUUUGCUUUCUAAUUAUUUUUCUCAUUACAAAAGCAUUACAUUAAUGGUAGAAAUGAAUAAAUACAGAGAAGCAAAAGGAGAAAAAAAAACCAAAACAUAAUUCCACCACUCAAAGAUAACCAUGGCUAAGAGUUGAUGUUUUUGCCCCUGGCAUUUGUAUCAUUUUUCACAGAAAGAGGCUCAUACUGUGUAUAUUGUUUUGUAAACGACUUCUUCAUUCAAUAACAGCUCUUGAAUCUCUUUCCAAGUCAAUAACCACUUUUCUACAAUAUCACCUUAAAGGACCGGAGUGUGUCAUAAUUAUGUCACACUUCCCAUAAUUGGACAUUUUGCUUGCAGUCUUCCCUGUUAUAAACCAUGCCUCUGUGGACAGUGUGACUAGGUAAACCUUUCUACAAAUGGGUAGCAAAGAAAAUCUUUUCCACAAAUUCAAGGACUUCUUCUUCGCCGUGCGUUUCUUAGACCAAAGAAAUAAGAGUUUUAUUGGGGGAGGGGUUUGGUAAGAUUUACCGUUAAUGCAUUAACUGCUUCUUCUCUUUUCUUUUUUUCCUCCAUUUACGCUUCCUUCCUUUUCCUGUCUUUUGCAGAGUAAUGAAAGCCUGAAGCAUCCAGGGCCUCCCUGGAGCAGCAGAGGGGAGCUCAGACGCCGCGAUGAGAUUCUGGGAAGUGAAAUGGGCUCAAGAUCUCGACCACUAGAGAGCUCUCCAAGCAUGCCCUACCAGGACCUUUGUCACUGGUGAACUGUUUCCUCCCCAAGAUUCUUUCCAGCUGAGCUAAGAGAUUUCUGGAGCCUCUCGCCAUGGUCAGAACAUCUCUUGAAUGACCAGGAAAUGGGGCUUCCUGUUUAAAUCUCUCGGGCAGAGACAAGGCAGAUGAGCCUGCCUAAGUCUUUAGAAAGAGCUGUAGGGAAGGCCAGAGAUGGCUCAUCAUGCCAAGAUGUCCACUGUGGCCGCACCCAGUGUGCCAGAGGUCUAUGGCAGCGAUAGGGGUUACCUGGGAAUCUAGGGUUGGUAUUCGGUGUGAGUCUUGGUGAAAGUGCCCAGGGGAAAAGUUCCCCUGAAGACAGUGAGUCUAACAGUGGCCAAGUGGCACCUUCCUGCUGCCUGGCACACCUGUAAAGGUGAGCCAGGGUCACAGACAGGAGCUGGAGGAUGUCAGUCACAAACAAAUCAAAAUAGUGAAACAGAAAACAAGGGGCUGAUGCUGCACAGUUAAAACAUAUAUAUGUUAUAGAUCUUGAUAGAACUGGAAAGAAAAAAAAAAAAAAAAAAAAAAAAAAAAAAAAAAAGGCAGGAUCAACACUCCAGUCCCAUGGAAGCCGAGUGGCUUUCGUGGUGUGUUAACAACGGCACAGUCCAGGCUAAAGAGGGUGGUUUCAUGUUGAAUAAGGGGUAUUUU